AAAUUACUUCUUGAAUCCAUUCACAGGAAAAUGGGAAUCCAGAGCGUCUCUCAAUGCAAGAGUUCAAGGAGAAUUUCGGUGUUCAAUAACUGGAGAUUCCUGCAGAUGAGGUUUCAUGCGCUUGGCAAUAUGGAGACCAUGUUGCAAAGGAAAAGCAAAAGGAGUUCGGUUGCUUGGAAUUUCUUGGCUGUGGAAAACAUCUUUUAAAGAGAAGUGACUUCAAGGCAGUGUUCUCAAAAGUUACGAAGUUCUAAAUGUGUUUUAGCAACUUUUUUUUUCAACGCAAAGCUCAAAACUGAUUAAUUUAUUUCUGUUCCACUGAAGAGUACAAUAAAUAUGUUAUGGUUCUUAA